GAUGAACGCUGGCGGCGUGCCUAAUACAUGCAAGUCGAGCGAACGGACGAGAAGCUUGCUUCUCUGAUGUUAGCGGCGGACGGGUGAGUAACACGUGGAUAACCUACCUAUAAGACUGGGAUAACUUCGGGAAACCGGAGCUAAUACCGGAUAAUAUUUUGAACCGCAUGGUUCAAAAGUGAAAGACGGUCUUGCUGUCACUUAUAGAUGGAUCCGCGCUGCAUUAGCUAGUUGGUAAGGUAACGGCUUACCAAGGCAACGAUGCAUAGCCGACCUGAGAGGGGGAUAGGCCAAAGUGGGAAGGAGAGAAGGAAGAAACGACGAAGGGAGGGAGCAGUAGGGAAGCGUAGGAAAUGGACGAAAGUAUGAACGAGAAAGGACGAGGGAGUGAAGAAGGUUUUCGGAUCGUAAAAAUCUGUUGGUAGAGAAGAAAGGUGGUGAGAGUGGAAAGCUCAGCAAGUGACGGUAACUAAACAGAAAGGGACGGCUAACUACGUG
rnacentral:rRNA from 1 species